CUCCUUUUAUUUCUCUCUCUAAGCGUUUGGUUGAUAUGCUAAUAGAGGUAGACAAGGACGCGCAACCAUUUCCUGGGUAUAGUACCUUAUGGUAUUCUCUGAAUUUGAUUUUUACAAGGGAAAACAGACACGAUGCCUAGUCAUUCUUUAUUGUUGUUUCUCCUGUUCGGAGGUGCGGCCAGUCGCCGUUAUAACGAGAUGCAACUUGACUUCAUCGUCUACUCAGCCAAAGGCACACAAAGAAAAAGAAAGAGCGAGCUGAAAUCCCAAGUCAAACGCAGUUGUGCAUUACAGUGGGUGGGGAUGGACAACAACGCGACGGACAAAAAAAAAUCCAGCAGUCAAGAGAAUCAAAAGGCAAAAAUGCGACUCGACGAGAAGAUCAGCAGCGUCGCGUUCGGUCGAUUAACUAAAAUCGAUGCAGACAAAAAUGUGCCACGAAUAAGAGUGUGUGUCCUAGGAUCAGCGGCCGUCGGAAAAACGGCAACGCGGAUGCGACGCUCAUCACCUGCAGACUAACACUCCUUCGCAAAGCUGCUAUUAUCUCUUAUUCAUCCGACUGAAAGGUCAAUUUUCGCGACACCCACCACUUCUUCGCAAAAAAAAAAAUGGGCACGUUCGUGCAACGGCAACACCAUUAAAAAUCUAUAUCUAUUUUUGCACUGUUUACGUUGCAGCUGUUGUGGUUCGUUAUUUGACCAAUCGAUUCAUCGGAGAAUACUGCACGGGAAAAGGUAUACACAAACCAAAUUUCUUUUGACUUUUGCGUUUUAUCUUUAAAACCUGUUGACCCCAACGAUACGUUCCCCAAAAGAAAUGGCAAAAUGAGAGAGUUGGAAUAAGAAAUUAACAUCGACGAACGGCGAUGCCUACGCGAUACGAAAAGAAAAAAGUACGGCGAGUAGAAAUGAAAAUAAUCGAUCCGUUCAAUGCACAUUUCCCGGAAGAGUGUGAUGGAAAUGGGAGGGUAAAAGGUCUAGUCAUUUCUCUCCCUCUUUUUAUUCCUCUCGUACAACUCAACUGGAACUAACAAAGCAGACGGCCAACUUUGAACGCUCACGUUGAGCUCCACGUGAGCCACAUGUUCCCCUUGUACACGUUAACAAUUUAAGAAGAUCAUCCGUGUGCCUAAACCCACAUCGGGUUAAAAGCACGUAUCGCAUAUAGACACAACGUAUUGAUUUUUAAAACAUAUUGUUGUCAGAUUUGCUCUACAAGAAAACAAUCAAAAUCGAUGGGUUUCCUUCGCAGAUUGAAAUCGCAGAUACUUCAAACGCUUCGGUAAGAUGAGUCAUCAAUUAUCGAUUUUCUUCUACAAGGGGCGGUUUCCCGGUGUGCAAACUACUAUUAACCAACCGAAUUGUGGCACUGCUCGCAAAAAGGGACAAAGGAUGAUGUAACAUACUGGCAAACUGCCUUGCUUUUGGGGGCGAAAACUAGGCUAGUUAACCGACAUCGAUGACAAAGAAUACAGAGUAAUUGAACGCAUUCGCACGACACGACGAUCGACAGAUUUUUUUAUGACUGAAUUGCUGGGUGAAACAAAAAUAAUGCCAAGGGCGAGCAUACUUACUACUGCGAUAAAAUCUGAAAAUUCUCUGAAAUCAAAUCUUGUUGCGAAUAUGCAAUAAUAAGCAAGUCACUGUUAUCGACCUUGACAUAAAUAUUUACGGAUGACUGAUCGUCACAAGAUAACACAAGUGCGAGUCCUUCAAAAAAAAAAAGAACAAUAACGCAGUAAUAGUUACUGAGUAGUCGGCGUCCAUCCUAAAAAAAAAAAAAUUAAAUUCCAUUAAUUCAAAAGCGGUCUAUUCUUAUUUCCAAGGCGGAUUUUUCUUUCCCAACGGUUCAUGUUUCAUGGGCAGACGCAUGUAUAGUUGUCUAUUCUAUCGGAAAUAGCUCGAGUUUCGAGGCCGCAGCUACGAUGCUUGAAAAAAUACAGAGUCUCAAAAUGCCUUUUUAUCUACCGGUACUUUUGUUGGCGAAUCAAAAAGAUCUCGAACAUCUUCGUCAGGUUAGAGUCGAGGAUGGCCAAGCGUUGGCGGUACAAAACAAUUGCCACUUUGCUGAGCUUUCGGCAGCUGAAGACGUCGAGGGAGUGGAACUCACGAUGACGGCGUUGUUUCGAGAGGUGCGGACGCUCAAGUCACAACGAACAGCCGUUCGCCAGAAAAAACCUUCCCUAAUGCACGUCACAAAGUUAUUUAGCUCAUUGAUUGGCCGUUCCUCUGGCUCUUCCUUCAGUGAAGCGGACGGAGAAAAGCCCAAACUAAAAAGUAGUUCAACUGCAUCGUCGCUUCACACGAGCGACGAAAGUGAAAGCAAAGUGAAUACGCCAACAGAGAAGGAGGUCAAAUCGAAUAAAGGAAUAAAAAAACGACCUUCUUUCUCUCUAUAAUUGCUUACGUCUACCUCUGUCACCCACAACCAACCGGCGUCCGACCAGACGGUUAAAUUCCACGCAUCGGACAAAUUACUAAUGGCAUUCCUUUUCAAUCGUCAGUUGCUCUAACGAGAUGAUCUCUUUUUACCCGAUAUAUAUUUUGUUUACACAGUCUCAUUGGAAGGCUGCCAGAAGUGUAGCCUCCAACCUCAUUGCAUGUUUGACGCCAAUGACAGUAUUGAAUAUAAUUUUAAUAAACAGAAACAAAGAAUA